CCGGCGCGCAGGGGGCGGGGCGCCGCUUGACAGUGGCGGUCGCCGGGCAGCGGAGCCCGGGAGCAGCGAGCGAGCGCAGCGCAGCGCAGCCCAGGGAGCGCGAGCGGCGCAGGCGGCAGAGGCGGUGGCGCGGGGUCACCGCCCGCUCCGGCUCUCGGCGCAGGGGAAUAGCCUCCUGCGGCGGCAGAGGCGGCGGCGGCGACGACGUGCGGGCGAUGCUGCAGGUCUCCUCGGGCGCCGGUGUCCUGACCUCUUCCUGAAGGUACCCAGCCCCGCCCGCCCCCUCGCCGCGGGCUCGGCAGCGCCCGGGAAUGGCUUUGUGAAGCUCUGGGCUCGGGCGGUCGGGCGGUGGGCUGGUGCGCGGGGCGGGUGGGGCUGGGCGGGGCUGCGCUGUCUGGGCCGCUUUCCCUGCGAGGAAGAGGGUGGCGGCUGAGGGAAGCGGGCUGGGGGAGGAGGGCUGUCUCCCGGCAGCAGCUGGCGGCUUUGCCAUCCUCCGUCCUCCUGCCCCCAUGUGGUUUGCAAGAGGUUUUGUUGCAGCAGAAAGUUUGACGCUGAGACACGAGGAGCCGGACUCGGGGGUCCCGGAGACCCGCCCCUUUAGAGGGAGGCAGGUCACCCUUGCCGGGGACACCAGAGACCUGAAUGUGUCUGGUCUGGCGUGUAGGAGUCCAGGCCACUUUCUGACCCGAGCGGCAUUCCUGACACGGGCUCUUCCCUGAGGAAAUUCCCUGUGGGACCCCCCUCCUUGGGGCGGGGGCUCGCCGGAGUCAGGGCGUCCAGAGCCCCCAUACUGUGGCUUUCGCUGCAGGUAAUUAAGUCUGCCCUACCUGCUAAUUAAAGAUCCCCAAACAUUGUGUCCAGGGUGCCCUGGUUACUUCCGUCACAUCUUGAACAGUGUCUUAAGACCACAUGCUUCCAACUGGAAGGGCUGGGUUGGUGCUGGGGAGCACGUGAAAAGGUGUAGAAGUUAUGGUCCAGCACUUGGGGUGAGGAGCAGGGAAAAAAAGAGAAUACCAGACACACGUACCCACUUGAAGAUAGGAGAAAGCGUCAACCUUCCAGAAGAACAAAGAGGUGGCUUAUUUGCUUUACAAAACUUCCUCUAAUGCGGAGAAGUAGAGUUAGCAUUGAGUUUUGCACAAAACUGUGGGAACACGUCCGUGGGGACGUAGCUCGGCGUGGAGGUGGUGAUGUGGCUCUCAUGUGGACUUGAGCAGCUCUCAACAAGUAUAGGUUGAAUUCUCUUUAACUCUAAUCAGCCUGAUGCCUUUCUAACCACACGUGGGGAUUCUCAGAGUUACUUUAUUCGUUUCUUCCCAAGAAUGUUCAUGCCGCAAGUCAACUACCUCAUACCAGCUUUUGGGCCCUGGAGACAACCUUAGCCAAGGACGUCAGCAUCGUGUCCUGGCUCAUAACAUUUGCCUCACAGCAGGUCACACCACUUCUGUAAGAACAUUCACUUCGUGAAGAGAAGGAAACCUCCUUAAGCAGUGGUGACACAAUAUACUGAGCACUUACUAUGUGCCAGAUAUAUUACAAGCUGUUUUCUGUACAUUUUAACUCUGAUUCUUACAGUCGCCCUGAUGAGGUGUCAUUACUUGCCCUCUUUUAGGGUUUAAAGGGUUUUGCAGUUUUUCCUAGGUUAUGUGUCAUAUGAUAGAGGUGGGAUUUGAACCUGGAUGUGUCUGACUCCCUGCCAACGCUUGUGUCCACCACCCUAUGUUCUCCCAGACCCUUGUGAGAGGCAACUGCCCACAUUAUGGGACUGGAGGAGAUCCACAUAUGGCAGCAUGGACUGUGUCUCCUGGCCUCCUAGAUCAGACCGCUUUAUAGACUGUCUCUCCCUCUGGGAACCCACCACGGUGUGCCUGUGUUCCGCAGAUGUUUCCUUCACCAAAGGGUGACAUCAGGGAUUCUGCAGACUCUUCCAGCACCCUGCCAACCCCCAGGAUGGCAAUCAGGUGGAAAUCUCCAGACAUGUAAACUCCUUGCCCUUCCAGAUGCCUUAGUUAGUUCCAGAAGACAGGUUACCCAGCGUUUCCUGCAUUGGCACUUAAGGAGCAGUCUCUAUUUUAAGUUUACACAUAUAAGCACACACACCCCCCAACCCCACUUGGCAGCAGCACAUCCCCUGCAGUGUUCACCCUGGCUCACUCCUCCCCCUGUACUAACUGUCAGGGCAUUCCUGACCCAGCCCAGCCCACUUAAAACCAAAGACGGAACCGGAGUCUCUGGGAUGGUGCUGUUAGCGCAGGGAAUCCCUGGUUUCGCCUCUAGUGAGCAGAAGGCAAAUUAACUUAGGGGCCUCGAGCAGGAAGCAGACCUUCUCCAUAGUGCGAAACACAUGCAUGUGGGGUAGCCUGUUGUCAGCACUGCAGAAGAUGUGUGUCACCAUAUAGAAAUGCUUUUACUGGCUAUUUUGGUGAUGGAUGCGGCCCCAUGCCUACUUCUGAUCUGAUUACUCACUUUUAUACUGAGCCAGUUGUCACUUGGUUGAAUGGUGUCAAAAACUGGUGUCACAGUUGUGAGAGUAAGUUCUGAAGCUGUGCCUAAAAAAUGUGUCUAUUGUUAUAAACUUCAGCCACUGUUUUUAUUAUUUCCCUCGAGUGUGUGUGUGUGUGCGUGUGUGUGCGUGUGUGUGUGUGUGUGUGUGUGUGUUCUCUCCCUUGGUAUAGUGUUCGACUCUCUCUGGUUCCAAAAUGAUUUGCAGUGCUAAGGCUAAAAAGAAAGAAAUGCGUUUUUGAGCUGUGACCAUAUGCUGCCUGGAAGCAUAUCGCUGUAGUUGGCGUUUUACUCAUGUUACUCUAGUGCAAAGCAUCUCCAAGUCCCAUGUGCAGGCUCUGGGACUUCGAAUGGGCUUUCCUGUCUCAUUAUUCCACUGCAUCCCCUGUAGCAGUGAUGAGGCUUGAGUUUAGAAGACAGUGCUGUCACCUCCCCUCUAAUAUCUCUACACUGCCAAACACUGGAGCAGCACUAAUUCACGUUGGGAAAGUUGAACAUGAGGUUUGCUCACCGUCACUCUUGCACCAGAAUGGAAAGGUACCAAAAACAUUUGGGGGGAUAAAGAGUGAAGUUGACAUCUUUAAAUGACUAGGAAUCUAUAAAAUGAUAGUGAAUUGCUGAUAUCAUACCAUUCUCCUGAAGUUGGCUAUAGGCAGAUGCCUCACUAACCUAAAACCGUCCAGCAUCAGCAGACGUCCACUCUGCAUUCUGUUCUAUUUUUAAGACUUCUCAUUAACUAGCAGUCCACAUUUAAUUCCAAAUUUCAUCAAAUCUAAAAUGUCAUGAGCUCUUAAGACAUAGCAUUAUUUUUGUUAUACAGGAAGAGGAAAAAACCGCCAGUUGUGUGAUGACAUGCCACUUCAGCAGUCGUCUUCCGUGACGCUGCAUGAAUAUGUCACACCAGCUUCUCGUUGUUUUCAAGUUUCCUUCAUCUCUGCCAUGGGCUUUGGUACUUUUUCCUGCGGGUACCUUCAGUAGGUACCGUCUGUUGCAUUGCUUAUGGUGUGAUAGGCAGUGGGGGUUCCAUAUGAAGAAGAUUCAUCUUCUGUGUUUUUCUUCCGUUUGGUGUACCAUUUGGAAUUUUCUUUGCAAGGUAAUACAGAAAUGCCACACAAAGAUAAAUGUUUCCUUUAGUAACAUAACUUUUAUGCCCCCAUAAAAGUUCGUUUUGCCUUGGUGCAUACACAGUAACAUCUUUAAGUGCCAGGCCAUAGUGUAAUCUUUUAGAAAGGUAAUCUUUUAAAAUGACAAUUAAAAAGAACACGUGCUGCGCUAACGUCCCUAACUUAGUGGAAGCGACAACAAAAUGAAUAGUGAUGACCACAUUUAUGCAAAUGCAGGGAAAUGACAAUUGUGUUGUGACUUCUGCCAGGUUGCCAGCAGUUUUAAGAGACCAACAAUGGUAAACCACAUCCUGGUUUCAGAGAUGUUAAAAUGCGGGGGGUGGGGAGGGGAACGGGGGGGGGGGGUGGGGGGGAUGCAACUUGUCAAUGAAAUGUGGCACGUUCAGUUUCAUGACCUCUAACCUGCCUACCUGCUUGCACUUAUUCAUUCAUUCAUAUGGUCAUUCUUUUUGUUAGGCGCAAGCUCCAGGAGGGCAAGGACUUUUUCUGUCUUGUUCUCUGGCAUAUGUCAACCACUUAGAACAGUCACUGACACAUAGUUAAGCUGCACAAUAAAUAGCCAUAGAAGGAGUGAAUGAAUAUCCCCCUUGGGAGAUAAGAAGACACGUCAGGCAGCUUACUACUGCCCUGCUGUAGUGAGAAAACAUAUUCUUAGACUCAUGACACGGACAGAAAUGCCAAAUGCAGCAAAGGCUACAGAGCAGCUUUCAGUCCUUCGUGGUAUUUACAAAGCCCAAUCCACCAUGUCUCACGCCAUUGCAAAACUGGUUUCCGGUAGAAUAAAUUCCACUGUGGCUUUUAUGGAUGUUUGACCACUGAUGGAAUUGAUAACAGCUAGUAUCUUGGUUCUCUUAUAUGACCCAAAAGCAUUAAUUACUUGCAUUUUAUGCUCAGUUCAGUUUCAUGCACUUGUCCUUUGUAGGUGUAACAUGUGCCAGACGACAGGUAAAUAUCUUUUCCUUCAGUAGUUUCCUCUGAAACAGACACUCAGGGGUGGUGACCUUGUCUGAAUGGACGUCCCCAAGAAAAUAUGUAUCUACUUAAAGGCCUCGCCUUACAGCCCACUUUUUAACCACCCCCAAGGGCCAUCUUUACAUUUUGACAUUUGACAAAGAAAAA
rnacentral:lncRNA from 1 species